UCUGGUUGAUCCUGCCAGUUGUCAUAUGCUUCUUUCAAGGACUAAGCCAUGCAAAUGUCAGUGGACUCGGGGUUUCUCGGGGGGACUGUGUACGGCUCAUUAAACGGUUAAUAGUCUACCCAACGAAGGGAGCACUCGUGCUCUCCUACGGGAUAACCGCCCUAACUGGGCAGCUAAUACCUGGACGAUCGGUCUCUGGCCAUCCAACCAUAUUGGGGUUACCGCCUCGAUGUGGGGCCAGGGAUGCUAUUGGCCGGAACAAGGACCAACGCCCUCACGGGCAGGUGUAAUUGUUGACGCAGGCCAAUGUAGCAGAGGCGCCACUUCGUGGUGCGGUGUUGGACGAAUUCACCACCUAUCAGGUUGAAGGUAGUGUAGUGGACUACCUUGCCUCUGACGGGUAACGGAGGAUUGGGGUUCGAUUCCGGAGAGGGUGCCUGAGAAAUGGCAACCAUGACUACGGUCAGCAGCAGGCGCGCAAAUUGCCCAAUGCAGACUAUGCGAGGCAGCGACGAAAAAUAGUAUUUCUGAUGUCUUCACAGACCUCAGAUUGCAAUGGAUUGUAUCUAAUACACACUGCUGAGUAGCUAUUGGAGGGCAAGUCUGGUGCCAGCAGCCGCGGUAAUUCCAGCUCCAAGAGCGUAUAUAAAUGUUGUUGCGGUUAAAAAGCCCGUAGUUGGAUUUGAGAACAAGGCUUGUGACGUGUUGGGCGAGUCGCGCCUUCGGGUGAGACGCGCUCGAACCGUCACGCAUGGCUUUGCUCUGAGACAUGCGGGAUUGUCCACUGGCCAAGGGCCCAUUCACUUGGGUCUGAGGCAAACUCGGAGUGCACAUACUCCAUCAGGUGCGCCCGCAGACGUCACUGUGAGUAAACCAGAGUGUUCAGGGCAACCAUCGUGCGUGGUUGAAUGUUAAAGCAUGGAAUGACAAGGGAUCGACCUGUAAGGCCUCUUUUUGUUGGUUUUUAAGCCUUGCAUCGGGGAAUCGAGGGAUCGAGUUCGGGAUGGCGGUCACCUCGCGUGCCGUCGUGUCGAACCGGUCUCUAGCGGGAUCAAUAGGAGCACAGGGGGCCAUGAGUACUGGCAGGCUAGUGGUGAAAUACUGUGACCCUGCCAAGACUGACAUCAGCGAAAGCACUUGGCUAUUGUGCUUUCAUUAAUCAAGGACGAGAGAUCGGGGAUUGAAGAGGAUUAGACACCCUCGUAAUCUGUUCUGUAAAUUCUGCAGACUUGGGAUCGGUCAGUGCUCUGCUACUAGACCUGAUCGGCACCUUCCUCCUCUAUCGAGAAAUCAAAGUUUUUGUGUUCCGGGGGGAGUACAUUCGCAAGGCUGAAACUUAAAGGAAUUGACGGAGAACCACCACCAGUCGUGGAGUGUGUGGCUUAAUUCGACUCAACACGGGAAAUUUUACCAGGCCAGGACGUGGUAAGGAUUGCCAGAUUGAAAGCUCUUGCAUGAUUCCGCGAAGGGUGGUGCAUGGCCGCUUCUGGUUGGUGAAGUGAUUUGUCUGCUUAAUUGCGUC
rnacentral:rRNA from 1 species